rnacentral:misc_RNA from 1 species
GUGAAUCAUCAAAUCUUUGAACGCAUAUUGCACUCUCUGGUAUUCCGGAGAGUAUGCCUGUUUGAGGGUAAUUAAAAAGAAUCUUUAAUCAAUUUUUUUUGGUUAAAGGUAAUGUGCUUUCCGCGUUUAUAGCGGUAGUUUGAAAUAAAUGGUCAAGUCUCAUUUUAGUCGAGACGUGUAAUAAUGUUAUUUCGUGAAAUCUUCAUUAUGUGACUAUCAAGUUUUGAUGCAUUCAAAUUUGCUUUGUAUGAGAUCUAUACAAUUAUUUUGAACAUUACCUCAAUUCAGGUAGGAGUAC